GCCUGGCUAGCUCAGUUGGUAGAGCAUGCGAAUCUUGAUCUUAGGGUUGUGAGUUCAAGCCCUACGCUGGGUG
rnacentral:tRNA from 1 species